rnacentral:rRNA from 1 species
UACGUAGGGCGCAAGCGUUGUCCGGAAUUAUUGGGCGUAAAGAGCUCGUAGGCGGCCUGUUACGUCUGCUGUGAAAUCCCGGGGCUUAACCCCGGGCGUGCAGUGGAUACGGGCAGGCUGGAGGCAGGCAGGGGAGAACGGAAUUCCCGGUGUAGCGGUGAAAUGCGUAGAUAUCGGUAGGAACACCAGUGGCGAAGGCGGUUUCCUGGAGCCCACUUGACGCUGAGACGCGAAAGCUGGGGGAGCAAACGGG